rnacentral:misc_RNA from 1 species
UUCUUUUUUUUUUUUUUUAAUUAUGUAAAAUGUGUCAUAUGAGACCCACAUGUUUAGAAUAAAAAAUGCCACAUGUGACGCCAUAUCAGCAGACACACUUCCCCCCAUUCCAAUUUCAAUUUUGGAUAAAAUUUAACUAAAUUUUCAAAAUUCGGUCAAUUGAUCUAAAUUGAAAGAUUUGGAUUAAAACACCAAAAGUCACAAAGGAUUGAAUUUAUUGAGCCAAUACACCUUUUAAAUAUCUUUUCAGGUUAUAAGUUCCUAAAUCAGAAUUUUAAGAUUGAUCACUCAACCAGUCUUAAAAGUUAAUGCCUUCUAUUAAUAAUCACAAACAAUAAAAUAAAAAUCUUUAAUUACAUAUUAAAGCAAUUGUAAAUAAUAAAAAAUUUAAAUUUAAUUAUAAAAUUAGCAGGUAACAAUUCAAUUUUUUUUAA